GACGAACGCUGGCGGCGUGCUUAACACAUGCAAGUCGAACGGAAAGGCCCUGCUUUUGUGGGGUGCUCGCGUGGCGAACGGGUGAGUAACACGUGAGUAACCUGCCCUUUACUUUGGGAUAACUUCAGGAAACUGGGGCUAAUACCGGCUAGGUGCUCCUGCUGCUUGGUGGGGUUUGGACAGUUUCGGCGGUUGGGGAUGGACUCGCGGCUUAUCAGCUUGUUGGUGGGGUAGUGGCUUACCAAGGCCUUGACGGGUAGCCGGCCUGAGAGGGGGACCGGGGAAAAUGGGACUGAGAGACGGCCCAGACGCCUACGGGAGGCAGCAGGGGGGAAUAUUGCACAAUGGGGGGAAGCGUGAUGAAGAAACGCCGCGUGCGGGAUGACGGCCUUCGGGGUGGAAACCGCUUUAGCCUGUGACGAAGCGGGAGUGACGGUAAUGGGUAAAGAAGCACCGGCUAACUACGUG
rnacentral:rRNA from 1 species